rnacentral:rRNA from 1 species
GCGGCGGACGGGUUAGUAACGCGCGGGAACGUACCCUUUUCUACGGAAUAGCCUCGGGAAACUGAGAGUAAUACCGUAUACGCCCUUUGGGGGAAAGAUUUAUCGGAGAAGGAUCGGCCCGCGUUAGAUUAGAUAGUUGGUGGGGUAAUGGCCUACCAAGUCUACGAUCUAUAGCUGGUUUGAGAGGAUGAUCAGCAACACUGGGACUGAGACACGGCCCAGACUCCUACGGGAGGCAGCAGUGGGGAAUCUUAGACAAUGGGCGCAAGCCUGAUCUAGCCAUGCCGCGUGAGUGAUGAAGGCCUUAGGGUCGUAAAGCUCUUUCGCCUGUGAAGAUAAUGACUGUAGCAGGUAAAGAAACCCCGGCUAACUCCGUGCCAGCAGCCGCGGUAAUACGGAGGGGGUUAGCGUUGUUCGGAAUUACUGGGCGUAAAGCGCGCGUAGGCGGACAUUUAAGUCAGAGGUGAAAUCCUAGGGCUCAACCCUGGAACUGCCUUUGAUACUGGGUGUCUUGAGUUCGAGAGAGGUGAGUGGAAUUCCGAGUGUAGAGGUGAAAUUCGUAGAUAUCCGGAGGAACACCAGUGGCGAAGGCGGCUCACUGGCUCGAUACUGACGCUGAGGUGCGAAAGUGUGGGGAGCAAACAGGAUUAGAUACCCUGGUAGUCCACACCGUAAACGAUGAAUGCCAGUCGUCGGGCAG